rnacentral:rRNA from 1 species
UACGGGGGGAGCAAGCGUUGUUCGGAUUUACUGGGCGUAAAGGGCGCGUAGGCGGCCAACUAAGUCGGACGUGAAAUCCCUCAGCUUAACUGGGGAACUGCGUCCGAUACUGGAUGGCUUGGAUUUGGGAGAGGGAUGCGGAAUUCCAGGUGUAGCGGUGAAAUGCGUAGAUAUCUGGAGGAACACCGGUGGCGAAGGCGGCAUCCUGGACCAAUAUUGACGCUGAGGAGCGAAAGCCAGGGGAGCAAACGGG